AGCAGUGUCCGACUUGGUUCCUAGCAAGUAAAGCCCAGCUUCUCAUAAACAAGAUCAUUAUUAGUCUACUCCAGAGAGUACAGGACGGAUGCUCUUCAUCAUCUUCAUCAUCGCGCUAACGUCUGACCCGUGUCGUGCUGUGGGGCCGAUAAGCAGCGGAUGCGGCAGGUGCCUGGCUGCAGGCUGCAGGCCUUUCAAUGGUCUCUCCCACGAUGAAGGCGGUGGUGGAUGCUGUAUGGGCAGUGUGGAGCAUCGGGGCCUCCAUCUAUGAUUACAUCCACACCACCGCCAUGGAAGAGCGCAUCCAUGCCCUGGAGAAUGUCAUUACCAUCCACCAGUGUGUGAUUGGGCUGCUGUCCGCUGGAGUGCUGGUACUUUUCACCUACAUCCUCUUCAAGAAGCUUUGAGGAGGAAGUGUGAAGUGGUUGGCUGGAGAAGAAAGGGGACGUCCUUAUGAAGGACAUGGUGCAGGACUGAACACAUACAUGGGCAUACGCUCUUUAUUCCAAGGCGGUAGAAGAGUGGGGAAAAAACACUUCAUUAAAUUGACUUUAUACUAUUUUAACAUCA